rfam:Ornithorhynchus anatinus chromosome X1, whole genome shotgun sequence.
GAACUCAUGAGGCAGGGGGAAAAACAUGAUCACAACGGUGGUUUCCUCAGGGUGAGACAUCCAUUAUACUUUGGGUACGCUGAUCCCUGGAAUUCCCCCUAAUGUGGGAAACUCAGCUGCAUAAUUUGUGGUGUAGGGGUGCCAUCAGUGCUCUUU